GACGAACCGUGCGAACGUUGUUCGGAAUCACUGGGCUUAAAGGGCGCGUAGGCGGCUGCUCAAGUCCGGGGUGAAAGCCCCCAGCUUAACUGGGGAAGUGCCUUGGAUACUGAGCGGCUCGAGGGAGAUAGGGGUCGAGGGAACUUCUGGUGGAGCGGUGAAAUGCGUUGAUAUCAGAAGGAACGCCGGUGGCGAAAGCGCUACGACUGGAUCUCUACUGACGCUGAGGCGCGAAAGCCAGGGGAGCAAACGGG
rnacentral:rRNA from 1 species